rnacentral:rRNA from 1 species
CCAAUAGCGUAUAUUAAAGUUGUUGCAGUUAAAAAGCUCGUAGUUGAAUUUCGGGGUUAGUAGGUUGGUCAUGCCUCUGGUAUGUACUGGUCUCACUGAUUCCUCCUUCCUUAUGAACCGUAAUGCCAUUAAUUUGGUGUUGCGGGGAAUUUGGACUGUUACUUUGAAAAAAUUAGAGUGUUUAAAGCAAGCUAACGCUUGAAUACAUUAGCAUGGAAUAAUGAAAUAGGACGUUCGAUCUUAUUUUGUUGGUUUCUAGGAUUGACGUAAUGAUUAAUA